GCGCAGCUUACCAUGCAGUCGAGCGGUAACAGGGGGUGCUUGCACCCCGCUGACGAGCGGCGGACGGGUGAGUAAUGCAUAGGAAUCUGCCCAGUAGUGGGGGAUAGCCCGGGGAAACCCGGAUUAAUACCGCAUACGCCCUUUGGGGGAAAGCAGGGGAUCUUCGGACCUUGCGCUAUUGGAUGAGCCUAUGUCGGAUUAGCUAGUUGGUGGGGUAAAGGCCUACCAAGGCGACGAUCCGUAGCUGGUCUGAGAGGAUGAUCAGCCACAUCGGGACUGAGACACGGCCCGAACUCCUACGGGAGGCAGCAGUGGGGAAUAUUGGACAAUGGGGGCAACCCUGAUCCAGCCAUGCCGCGUGUGUGAAGAAGGCUUUCGGGUUGUAAAGCACUUUCAGUGAGGAGGAAAACCUUCUGGUUAAUACCCAUGAGGCUUGACGUUACUCACAGAAGAAGCACCGGCUAACUCCGUGCCAGCAGCCGCGGUAAUACGGAGGGUGCAAGCGUUAAUCGGAAUUACUGGGCGUAAAGCGCGCGUAGGUGGUUUGAUAAGCGAGAUGUGAAAGCCCCGGGCUUAACCUGGGAACGGCAUUUCGAACUGUCAGGCUAGA
rnacentral:rRNA from 1 species